CUGCCAUACCACUUUGUUCGUAUACUGUACAACUAUACAAGCAGCAAUGUCUCUCCCCCUCUCUCUCUCUCUCCGUCUAGGCGGUGUUGGUGGUGCGCGGUGGUGAAUGGCAAGAUUUGUGGAGCUGCUGUCUGGAACUUCCUUCUUCGCUGACGUCUGUGCCUGGAACUUCCUUCUUCGCCGGCGUCUGUGUAACAGGAACCCUAAAUCGACUGUUCCUCGUAAAACUUCUUCUUAUGUGAGUGUCGCAUCUAUUAUCGCCGCAUACACGGCUUUCUCCUCCUACCAUUAUAAUUCCUCCUUGCAAGAAUUGAGAGGGAGAAAGUUUGGGGAAACUGUUGACAGGAGAUAUUUGUUUUUUGCUCCCUUGCUGCCACAUUUGUUUUCACUUUACACUGAGAAAAUAUAUAGUGAGAAACUGAGAGAAAGAAAUAGAGAAGACUAGAGAGAUGGGGCGUCAGCUGCUUUCCGUUGACAGGAGAUAUUUGCUUUUUCCUCCACGUCUGCAACAUCUUCUUAUCGUCAUAGGUCUCACACGGUUAACAGCAAAGCAACGGAGCAACAAAGGUAUUGGUGGUUCCCGGUGGUCAACAGUCGCACCUUUGGGUGACGGCUAGGGUUCCGGACAGGGGUUCGUUUAUUCGGCAAUCGUGGUCAGUUUAGAGACAUACGACACAUAUGUUAGUUUAACUCACACAUAUUGGUGAUUGGUGGUGGCGGCUCUUCUCUGGUUUUGCCCCGGUGCUCUGCCAUCUUUUCUACCUGUAGUCUGAUAUGCAAUUCAGGCCUAGCAUUCUUUCAAGACUAGACCCCCAGACCUAGAUCACACAAAUUCUAUGAAAGGGGCUUCUAACAAACAACGACAAGACAAGAAGCAACUCUAAGCCUUGGUGUUAGAGAGAGCCCAGCACCGGGCAAGGUUAGGGAAGCACAUAGAAGGGUAAUGGUUGCAAACCAUCCGGAUGCCGGAGGCAACCAUUACUUAGCUUCAUAUAUCAAUGAAGCCAAAGAUGUAAUGCUUGGAAAGACGAAGAACAGUGGGUCUGCAUUCUGAUCCAAUUACUGUUUUAAUCUGUUUCUGAUGACAAACAGUCCAAAUGGUAAUAUAUACCCAACUCUUAGUUUGAGUGUUAAUUUAUAGAAGAACGCGAUGGAAAUGUGAACACUGGAUUGACCGCAUAAACAAUUUUAAAGCAUCUCAAGCAGAAACAGUAUGUGAUUGAAACGGGUCAGCUCUAUGUUUAACGUUGCUGCGUAUGUCAGGUAAUCUAGAUUCGAAGCUGUAAGCCUGUAAUAAUUAAAUAAUUAGUUGUUUAAGUAUAAUACCAAACACCUAAUGCAUGAUCUUAACUACAGAGCGAGCUAAAUUGAAGACAUAUUUAAGAUAUUUUAGCACUAACAUAGUAAACAUGUACUGCUUUACAUGUAUCUGAUCCUAACACAAAUGAUAUAAAUGAGUGAACGUUUGAUGAAUAUGUUUUAAUUUUAUUAGAAAGUGUGAAUUUGUUUGAUCAGUUAGUGAAGUUAGUGAUAAAGUUAGUUGGUGUUGAAAUCAGGUUAAGUUGGUAGGGAUGCUGAUGAACAAGUCUUAGACGGUUGUUGAUGUUUCUUUUGUGCUUGAUGAUGGUGCCGGUCGCAUUGACCGCAACAGAUGAUAUGGAAGUUGUUUUGUGUUUAUGUUUCUUUUCAGUUAUGUGGUUUUAGAAUAUGAUGGUGUAUCUGUGAUGUUUUAGGGUUCAUACGGUGGUUGACAUGAAGGAGAUGGAAGCGAUAUUUUAUUUUUUUUAUUUCUUUGGUGAUUUGUGAAUUUGCAGUCUGAUUUGAAUCUUAUAGCAUUGUUCGUCUUUGUUCUUUUUAAAAUUUAAGGAAGCAAUGUAUGUUGAGAGUUCAUGGACAACUGAAAUGCUUUCAGAGGAAGAAGUAGUUAGUGGGCAUAACAAGUAUCUUAGAAUGUUUUUGAUAUGCGCGCCAAGUUCAUGGGUACUUUUUUACUUGAUAAAAAGAAAAAUAUAAGAUUGUGUGUUAAAGAUUCUAACUGUGUUAUGCAGGAUAUAAAGAAUGAAAAAGAAAGAGAAGUGAGAAUCCUGACUCCAUGGAUGAAGAUGAAGACGAAGACAAGGUGGCCGUGAUCAAGGCUGCCCACUUCGAGGAAUCCAUGAAGUAAAGAAACAGAACCAGUAGCUGUAAACUUAAUGAGGCGGCUCAUGGAUCGUGUUGCUGAAGCCGUGUAUGCAGAUAUGGAUGUUUUAAAAGGUCUGAAGCAAUUGUCUGAACAUCUUAAGGCAUCUGAUACAUCGCCAGAUGAAACGUUGCUACCAGAACAAGCUAAUCUUUUAUUAGAGAAGCUGGAUGUACAAAUGGACAUUAAUGAUGAUGAGAGUCUCCGACGUCGGCAUUUGCUGAGACAUUGCAGCAAUCUGGAGGAUUUGGGGCUGAGUUUCGCGUCGUUGAAGCAACAUCCGGGGCAGCAGCCGGUGCUGGUGGUUUUGACCUGUUUGCUGCUUCUACAGGUGAUUUUUCGACUAAAAUCCAGCCAAAAAUGAGUAAACAAAUCCCCUAAUUAUAUGUUCAUUUUGGUUGAUCCUUCCCUGAGGAAACCAUGUUAUUAUUUUGGUGUUUGUUGGGAAAGUUGGAGAAGUGGCUAGGUAGUUGUAAAGUGGGAAAAUGGCUACAAGUUUUAGUGAGGAGUUCGAGGUUUGCAGAUCGUUAGAAGGAAUGUCAAAUGAACAACAGUCUGGUUCUAUUCCCAUGGUCAAGCUGGUGUAUGAGGUCGACCGGAGGCGGCGACGAAAACAGGAACUAGGGUUCCGGCCGGUUACCAUAUCCCACAGCCGAUGCCGAUCUGGCUUCAAGACUAUGUCCCCGGCGAAAUGCAACGGCCGCGCAGCUAGGAUUCCGCCGCAAACACAACCGCGACGGAAAUUGUGGUUGAUCUUCUGCGACAUUGGAAGCCGAUCCAGCCAAACCAGGUAUGUAUUUUGACGAACGAGGUUAGACUUGACAUCCAUUGCUCUAUUUCUUUGGAUGAGUGUAGCUUAUUGGGUCGAUUUGAUGUAUGUCGGUGGUUGAUGUGGUGUUCUCCGGCGACGCUCAUUGGUGACUUGAAAAUGGUGUGGCAAUCCAAGCAUGCAGUCAUAGAAGCUGUUGUUUCAUUAGUUUAUUUUUAUUUUUUUAAUCAAAGAGCAGAAAAUCGAUCACUUAUAGAAGUAACGAUGUAAGAUAUAUGCAUAAACUUGACACACCCUGUUUCAAUCCGAAUUGUAAAUCCAUAUGCUAUAUCCAAUGUUCUUAUUCGCAUAA